GCCUGGAUAGCUCACGUAAAUCGGUAGGCAUCAGACUUUUAAUCUGAGGGUCCAGGGUUCAAGUCCCUGUUCAGGCG